UACGUAGGAGGCGAGCGUUGUCCGGAUUUACUGGGCGUAAAGAGCGCGUAGGCGGCUGGUUAAGUCUGGUGUGAAAUCUCCCGGCCCAACUGGGAGGGGACAUCGGAUACUGGCUGGCUGGAGUGCGGCAGAGGGAGGUGGAAUUCCCGGUGUAGUGGUGAAAUGCGUAGAUAUCGGGAGGAACACCAGUGGCGAAGGCGGCCUCCUGGGCCGUAACUGACGCUGAGGCGCGAAAGCGUGGGGAGCGAACCGG
rnacentral:rRNA from 1 species